AUUGAACGCUGGCGGCAUGCUUUACACAUGCCAGUCGAACGGUAACAGGCCUUCGGGUGCUGACGAGUGGCGAACGGGUGAGUAAUGCAUCGGAACGUGCCCAGAGGUGGGGGAUAACGCAGCGAAAGCUGUGCUAAUACCGCAUGUGAUCUGAGGAUGGAAGCGGGGGACCAAGCAGCAAUGUUUGGCCUCGCGCCUCUGGAGCGGCCGAUGUCAGAUUAGGUAGUUGGUGGGGUAAAGGCCUACCAAGCCGACGAUCUGUAGCUGGUCUGAGAGGACGACCAGCCACACUGGGACUGAGACACGGCCCAGACUCCUACGGGAGGCAGCAGUGGGGAAUUUUGGACAAUGGGCGCAAGCCUGAUCCAGCAAUGCCGCGUGCGGGAAGAAGGCCUUCGGGUUGUAAACCGCUUUUGUACGGAACGAAAAGGCUCUGGCUAAUACCUGGGGCUGAUGACGGUACCGUAAGAAUAAGCACCGGCUAACUACGUG
rnacentral:rRNA from 1 species